CAAGGAUAUUACCGAAUCAAGGCCCCUUCGGGGGCUAAACUUCCCCCUUUGUUUACCUUACCAUUGUUGCUUUGGCGGGCCGCCUUAGGCCACCGGCUCUCGAGCUGGUGCGUGCCCGCCAGAGACCCCCAAACCCAAACCAUAUUUAGUGUCGUCUGAAAACAAGUUUAAAUUAUUAAAACUUUCAACAACGGAUCUCUUGGCUCUGGCAUCGAUGAAGAACGCAGCGAAAUGCGAUAAGUAAUGUGAAUUGCAGAAUUCAGUGAAUCAUCGAAUCUUUGAACGCACAUUGCGCCCCUUGGUAUUCCGGGGGGCAUGCCUGUUCGAGCGUCAUUAUCACCCCUCAAGCUCAGCUUGGUGUUGGGGCAUGCCCGUCACAGGGCAGCCCUUAAAAGCAGUGGCGGUGCCAUCUGGCUCUAAGCGUAGUAAUACUCCUCGCUAUAGGGGUCCCGGUGGUGUCCUGCCAGAACCCCAAAUUUUAUCAUGAUUGACCUCGGAUCAGGUAGGGGAUACCCCGCUGAACUUAAGCAUAUCAAUAAGCGGAGGAAAAGAAACCAACAGGGAUUGCCUCAGUAACGGCGAAGUGAAGCGGCAAAAAGCUCAAAUUUGAAAUCUGGCUCUUUCAGGGUCCGAGUUGUAAUUUGUAGAAGAUGCUUUGGGUGUGGUUCUGGUUUAAGUUCUUUGGAAUAUUACAUCAUAGAAGGGUGAGAAUCCCGUAUGUGACCAGUCGCCGCGCCCGUGUAAAGCUCUUUCAACGAGUCGAGUUGUUUGGGAAUGCAGCUCAAAAUGGGAGGUAUAUUUCUUCUAAAGCUAAAUAUUGGCCAGAGACCGAUAGCGCACAAGUAGAGUGAUCGAAAGAUGAAAAGCACUUUGGAAAGAGAGUUAAACAGUACGUGAAAUUGUUGAAAGGGAAGCGCUUGCAACCAGACUUGCACGCAGUUGAUCAUCCGGUGUUCUCACCGGGGCACUCUGCUGCGUUCAGGCCAGCAUCGUUUUCGGUGGUUGGAUAAAGGCCUUGGGAAUGUAGCUUCUUUCGGGGAGUGUUAUAGCCCUCGGUGCAAUGCAGCCUACCGGGAGCGAGGACCGCGCUUCGGCUAGGAUGCUGGCGUAAUGUUGUAAGCG
rnacentral:rRNA from 1 species